UACGUAGGGGGCAAGCGUUGUCCGGAUUUAUUGGGCGUAAAGAGCGUGUAGGCGGUUUGGUAGGUCCGUUGUGAAAACUCGAGGCUCAACCUCGAGACGCCGGCGGAAACCAUCAGGCUAGAGUCCGGAAGAGGAGAGUGGAAUUCCCGGUGUAGCGGUGAAAUGCGCAGAUAUCGGGAGGAACACCAAUGGCGAAGGCAGCUCGCUGGGACGGUACUGACGCUGAGACGCGAAAACGUGGGGAGCAAACAGG
rnacentral:rRNA from 1 species